AGCUGAGAACCCACUCUAUCAACAUUAAACAGCGGCAGUUCCUGUAAGUUUUUAAGGGUUAUUGGAAGAUGACUUUACUUGUCUUCAUACAGUUUCACCUAAAUUAUGUUGGUGCUGUUGCUUUAGGACCUUCAGACCUGGAUGGGGACGUAUGAUAAGGAUCCUGGUUCUCAGGCCUUCUGGUCUGCACUGUAGCUAUACCUCCAGCUUUCCUGUGCUGUCAGUUUGGAGACAGCAGGUCAUGAGACUUCACUGCAUUCAUAAUUAUGUGAGCCAGUUUGUCAUGGUAAAUAUGUAUGUAUGCAUGUAUGUAUCCAUCCAUCCAUCCUGUUGAUUCUGUUUCUCUGGAGAACGCUGAUUAAAACACCUCUCUGCCUUCAGAACCCUUUUUCUUUCCUCUGACGUAUUAAUACUUUGAAUUUUAUAGAGAGAUAUUACAUGAGCAGAUGUGGCAACAUUAUUGAAUAUAAAAUGGUUAAUUUUGCUGCAUCACCCAAUUUUCUUACUCUGAUAAAAACUAUAAUGUAAGAAAUGAGAUAAUAAUUAUAAGUGAUUAUGACAAGUGUAAUAAUAACAUCACUUUUAUGGGGAAAUAAGGAAAAGCAAUAAUUUAUAAUGAAAUAAAAACUAAUGAUCAACA
rnacentral:lncRNA from 1 species